UACGUAGGUGGCAAGCGUUUGUCCGGAUUUACUGGGCGUAAAGGAUGUGUAGGCGGAUACUUAAGUGAGAUGUGAAAGCCCCGGGCUUAACCUGGGGACUGCAUUUCAAACUGGGUAUCUAGAGUGCAGGAGAGGAAAGCGGAAUUCCUAGUGUAGCGGUGAAAUGCGUAGAGAUUAGGAAGAACAUCAGUGGCGAAGGCGGCUUUCUGGACUGUAACUGACGCUGAGGCAUGAAAGCGUGGGGAGCAAACAGG
rnacentral:rRNA from 1 species